UACGUAGGGUGCGAGCGUUGUUCGGAAUCACUGGGCGUAAAGCGCGUGUAGGCGGCCCAUUAAGUCUGAUGUGAAAGCCCGGGGCUCACCCCCGGAAGUGCAUUGGAAACUGAUGGACUCGAGUCCCGGAGAGGAGAGUGGAAUUCCUGGUGUAGCGGUGAAAUGCGUAGAUAUCAGGAGGAACACCGGUGGCGAAGGCGGCUCUCUGGACGGUGACUGACGCUGAGACGCGAAAGCGUGGGGAGCAGACAGG
rnacentral:rRNA from 1 species